AUGCGGGGUCCAGUGAACCUCCUGCACCGCAGCACGGCCGUCGCAGCCGGUCCCGGCGAGCCGUCUCUGUCACCUUCCUCGCUGCCGCUGCCUCAUCCGGAGCAGCAGCAGAUGCUGUGCGCGCUCGUCUGCGUCCUCGGCCUCGCCCUCGUCUCCCGCUGCGCGUGUGGGCGACGACGCUCUAACUCUACUACAUCCUCCGUGCCUCUUCGCCCGAAAGGCCUCAAGAAGAAGGCCAUCAACGCGCUCCCCACCGUCUCCUUCACCGCGGCCGGUGCCUCACCGCAGCCAUCAUCAUCAGCGGCAGCAUGCUCAUCGUCAUUAGAGUGCGCGAUAUGCCUCACGGAGUUCACUGACGGAGAGAGCGUGCGCGUGCUCCCGCGCUGCGGCCACAACUUCCACGUGGCCUGCGUCGACGCCUGGCUUCGGACGUGCGCCACCUGCCCCUCCUGCCGCGCCCCCAUCAUCGCCACACCGGCUCAGCUGCCGGUUGUGCCAACGGUGGUCGUGGUGGUCGCAGCGGAGAACAACAGGUGUGGGAGGUGCGGCGAGCUGGAAGCGCCGGCUGGUGGCGGUGAUAGCACGUUCUUGCCUUAG
rnacentral:rRNA from 1 species